rnacentral:rRNA from 1 species
AUUGAACGCUGGCGGCAUGCUUUACACAUGCAAGUCGAACGAUAACAGGGUGCUUGCACUGCUGACGAGUGGCGAACGGGUGAGUAAUGCGUCGGAACGUGCCGAGUAGUGGGGGAUAACGCAGCGAAAGUUGUGCUAAUACCGCAUACGUACUGAGGUAGAAAGUGGGGGACCUUCGGGCCUCACGCUAUUCGAGCGGCCGACGUCUGAUUAGCUAGUAGGUGAGGUAAAGGCUCACCUAGGCGACGAUCAGUAGCGGGUCUGAGAGGAUGAUCCGCCACACUGGGACUGAGACACGGCCCAGACUCCUACGGGAGGCAGCAGUGGGGAAUUUUGGACAAUGGGCGAAAGCCUGAUCCAGCCAUGCCGCGUGUCUGAAGAAGGCCUUCGGGUUGUAAAGGACUUUUGUCGGGGAGGAAAUCCCCAGCGCUAAUACCGCUGGGGGAUGACAGUACCUGAAGAAUAAGCACCGGCUAACUACGUGCCAGCAGCCGCGGUAAUAC